CUCAGGCUGCCUGAUCGGCUUAAUGAUGACAAACACAAACAGGAAUCAGAUGACCGAGAGGAUCCUGGAUCUGACCCUGGAGGUCAACUACCUGCUGACUGGAGAGGUGAGGGAUUCUGGGAAUGUCACAGCAACUACACACUUUUAUCCUGUGCUUUAACAUGGAUAUUCUGAGACUUAUUAUGGACACAUUUGUGCAGUAGAUAUUGGGUAAAUAAGAUUGUGGGUCAUUAGCGGUGCUGGAUUGCAAUACUGAGAUUUGUGGAAUUUUUUUUCUGUUGGUGUUAAAGUUUGGUCAUGGUAUAAAUGUGGGGAUUGGGAUGAUUAUAAGACAUGAUUAUAAACAGGUAGCCCUAGCAUAGCAUUUCUCAGCCCUGUGCACUAUACAGGACUUUAUGAUGGAGAAGGCCGGCAUCGCACACACAGACAGGGGUAGCAGUGACAGAGGUGGGUGGUAGAAGCACAUACUAGCAGGAUUAAGGUGAUUCCUUUAUCAUGAAUAAGAUAAUGAAACCGCUUUAUAAAUAACUCCAAGGUAACAAAGUGAUGUUCUGUGUAACGUAUAGACUUAGUUGGAGAGAUCCUUUAAUACAGUGGUCUUCAACAGCUGGUUCACAAAAGCUUUCACUCAACUAUACCGUUGGGUGGAACUUUUCGCGGAUCGGAAAUAAAUUGCCACAAGAUUUUUCACUGGUGCUAUGAUCAUAGCACCCUGCAGGAUCGGAGGGAAGAUCAGAGUCCUCCCUCUCCGGCCGCCAGCAGUAUAAUGCUGGCGGGGGAGGGAGGGAGGGAAAGAGGACCCGGGGGAGCUCUACUCUGCAGCUCUGCCGGAUUCUGCUCUUGCGAGCCCGGACCGUUGCCACGUACUUUAAAAUGUACUUUCGUUUUAACGCUGAGAGUAACCCCUUACAUUAUACCUUAUGUGGCAAACCUAGCCACUUCAGACUAUUGUUUCACUUUAAGGGUUGCACUAGAAAGACUGGUUUAUAUAUGCAGUUUGAUGUAUCUGUUUAAAAUGUGAAAGAGGGAAUUCGUAUGCUGGUAGCAUGAAAGCCGCUAGCAUUCAAUGGUAGUUUCACGAACAGUGAUUUUCAACACUGUUCGUGAAACGAACAAAGUACAGAAUGGGAGCCCACACACAGGGGGUCGUGUGGCUCCCAUUAACCGAUCGCAACAAUGUAUCUAUCGGAUGUUAAUUGAUUCCCGGGUGACCGUCGUUCGACUACCGACCACGAGGCGGCGGCCAUCUUGGAUGUCCUUUUUGCCCAGCGGUGUUUGGUCGUCGAGUGCCUGGAACUGAAAUCGGCUACUCGACUGCACGAACACCGCUGGACUUCCAGGCCGUUCAGGAGCGCCGGUCUUAAGGUAUUUUUUCCCCACUUAUGUAUUCAUGUCUUUUAUGAUGAAGGUAUGUUAAAGUAUAUUUUGUGCGGCGUUCGGCUGAUUGUGUGGGGGAAUCUGAGCGGUACUUUCACUAAGUAUGCGUUCAAACCCCAGCUAUCUGCCGAACGGUCAUUCGGUACAGUGACAUGAAUAAAAUAGUUAUGGAUUUUUUAUGUAAAAAUCCAGUUCUGCUGUACGGAGGGAUAAUCCACUUAACAGGAUAUUCUAGUGGGAGUAUCCCUCUUGUACAGCAGUGCAUGGUGGGAGAAAUGUUCUAUAUGUUAAGUUCCCCAUGUAGUCCCCUACUGUACAACCCCUGUAAAGUCAGUAAGGAAACCCCUUGCAUGGGGAACCACAUAAAUACUGGAUCUGUAAAUAAAAUCGUCAGUUGACUCCCAGAACUGUGUUUCGUCCGGUUACUGGUAGAUUUGGAAUAUUGCCUUCAUUUUCAGCGCUUUCCUUGGAUUACCUUCUUUUACCAGCGGAGAUAUUUGGAUUUAAUAUUGCAGCUCCGCUACACCUUACUUACAAAGAUUUGAUAGAAAUGAAUGUAGCUGAUAUAAGUAAACCUAAGCAUAGAAAAAUAAGUAAGGGAAUCUCUGACAUACUGGCCUUAAUACAGUACUGCGGUAAAUAGCGUAAUAUAAACUGACCAGAAUAAUAAGUAAGGUAAUCUCUGACAUACUGGCCUUAAUACAGUACUGCGAUAAAUAGCCUAAUAUAAACUGACCAGAAUAAUAAGUAAGGGAAUCUCUGACAUACUGGCCUUAAUACAGUACUGCGAUAAAUAGCCUAAUAUAAACUGACCAGAAUAAUAAGUAAGGGAAUCUCUGACUUACUGGCCUUAAUACAGUACUGCGGUAAAUAGCGUAAUAUAAACUGACCAGAAUAAUAAGUAAGGGAAUCUCUGACAUACUGUCCUUAAUACAGUACUGCGGUAAAUAGCGUAAUAUAAACUGACCAGAAUAAUAAGUAAGGUAAUCUCUGACUUACUAGCCUUAAUACAGUACUGCGAUAAAUAGCGUAAUAUAAACUGACCAGAAUAAUAAGUAAGGGAAUCUCUGACAUACUGGCUAUAAUACAGUACUGCGGUAAAUAGCGCCAUAUAAACUGACCUGAAUAAUAAGUAAGGGAAUCUCUGACAUACUUGCCUUAAUACAGUACUGCGGUAAAUAGCGUAAUAUAAACUGACCAGAAUAAUAAGUAAGGGAAUCUCUGACAUACUAGCCUUAAUACAGUACUGCAGUAAAUAGCGUAAUAUAAACUGACCAGAAUAAUAAGUAAGGGAAUCUCUGACAUACUAGCCUUAAUACAGUACUGCAGUAAAUAGCGUCAUAUAAACUGACCAGAAUAAUAAGUAAGGGAAUCUCUGACUUACUGGCCUUAAUACAGUACUGCGAUAAAUAGCGUCAUAUAAACUGACCAGAAUAAUAAGUAAGGGAAUCUCUGACAUACUGGCUAUAAUACAGUACUGCGGUAAAUAGCGCCAUAUAAACUGACCAGAAUAAUAAGUAAGGGAAUCUCUGACAUACUGGCCUUAAUACAGUACUGCGGUAAAUAGCGUAAUAUAAACUGACCAGAAUAAUAAGUAAGGGAAUCUCUGACAUACUGGCCUUAAUACAGUACUGCGGUAAAUAGCGUAAUAUAAACUGACCAGAAUAAUAAGUAAGGGAAUCUCUGACAUACUGGCCUUAAUACAGUACUGAGGCGAAUAGCGCCAUAUGAAAACUGACCAGAAUAAUAAGUAAGGGAAUCUCUGACAUACUGGCCUUAAUACAGUACUGCGGUAAAUAGCGUAAUAUAAACUGACCAGAAUAAUAAGUAAGGGAAUCUCUGACAUACUGGCCUUAAUACAGUACUGGCGAAUAGCGUAAUAUAAACUGACCAGAAUAAUAAGUAAGGGAAUCUCUGACUGGUACUGAAAUAGCGUAAUAUAAACUGACCAGAAUAAUAAGUAAGGGAAUCUCUGACAUACUGGCCUUAAUACAGUACUGCGGUAAAUAGCGUAAUAUGAAAACUGACCAGAAUAAUAAGUAAGGGAAUCUCUGACAUACUGGCCUUAAUAGCAGCGUAAUAUAAACCGGACCAGAAUAAUAAGUAAGGGAAUCUCUUGACUUACUGAUAUACGCUGCAUCAUGCAAAUAGCGAAUAUAAACUGACCAGAAUAAUAAGUAAGGACCCUGACAUACUGGCUAUAAUACAGUACUCAUGCAAAUAGCUGCACAUAAACCGUGGACCAGAAUAAUAAGUAUGGAACCCUGACAUACUGGCUAUAAUACAAAGUACUGCGUAAAUAGCGCAAUAUAAACUGACCAGAAUAAUAAGUAAGGGAAUCUCUGACUUACUGGCCUUAAUACAGUACUGCGGUAAAUAGCGUAAUAUAAACUGACCAGAAUAAUAAGUAAGGGAAUCUCUGACUUACUGGCUAUAAUACAGUACUGCGGUAAAUAGCGUAAUAUAAACUGACCAGAAUAAUAAGUAAGGUAAUCUCUGACAUACUGGCUAUAAUACAGUACUGCGGUAAAUAGCGUAAUAUAAACAGACCAGAAUAAUAAGUAAGGGAAUGUGGCAAACCUAGCCACUUGGGACUGCCUAAGAUAGAAUGGUUGUGCCUAUUUUCUGUUGUGUACUGCGCGCCGGUAUAGUGUUGCGUCUCCGGCUAUGUUUAAUUUAUGCUGUACUGUGUAUGUCUGUUCGAAUCCUCCCCAUUCGUUAGCAUUGCUAUUAAAACUGACUAAGUUGUAUAUUUUGAAGUAGAAAGGUAAUGGUUUAUGUCCUCGUAGUUUUCAUUACUGUAUGUUACAGCAGGGGCUGUUGGGAGGAGGACCUGGAAACGGUAGUCUCCCUCCAGUCCCCUCAACCAAAACCCCUGCUGCCCAUCUUUGGAAACCCCUGUUGAGUGACCUGCUUUAAAUAUCAGUUAUUUUUAAUAAAGUGACAGNNNNNNNNNNNNNNNNNNNNNNNNNNNNNNNNNNNNNNNNNNNNNNNNNNNNNNNNNNNNNNNNNNNNNNNNNNNNNNNNNNNNNNNNNNNNNNNNNNNNGAGGAGACCCCAUUUGAACGAGAAAUGAGGACAAGAUUGGCAUUUUGGCCCGCUCCAGUAUCUCCAGAAAUUAUGACCAUAAUUUCGGCGGAUGCACAGGAGUACGUGAUGGCGCAAAGGAAUCAAGCCUUCUCACCUCAAGCAGAAACUGCUGCUGUUUCAACUGUGGGCCAGGGAAGGCCAAAAAUACCACAUCAUGCAUUUAAAACUUUUUGCGAGGAUAAAGACGAAAUAGAUGGAUUCUUGCAAGAUUUUGAAAGAUUGUGUGACUUGCAUGAUGUAGAGCAAGCUAUGUGGGUACCUUUGUUGGCAGGCAAACUGUCUGAGCGUGCAGCAGACGCCUACCGGGCUGUACCCAGAGAGGACAGCAAGAAUUAUGACAAGGUAAAGCAGGCGCUAUUAGAAAGGUAUGCCAUUACCCCAGAGGCAUACCGGCGCAAGUUCCGAGAAUUGAAAAAAGGGGACAAAGACUCACAUUCGGAGUGGGCACACAAGCUUGACCAAGCCUCACAAGGCUGGAUACAAGCCAGCAGAGCUACCACCAUGGAAGAGUUACGCCAGAUGUUGCUACUGGAGCAGUUUUGUAAUGGCCUGGCACCAGAGGCUCAAGAAUGGGUGAAUGACCGAAAUCCUCACACCCUAACCGAAGCGGCAUGAUUGGCGACCAACAUUAUGAUGCUAGGAGGCAUCAUAAAAAUAAUAACCGAGGGUAUGCAAAACCCAACCCGCAACCGUUUCCAGUUAUUGCUCCUGCCCCAGCGACAGCACCAUCCAGACCAGCACUUGUGGGACAACCUCCCCACUCCCGUUAUAAUGGCAGGUCCAACAUCCAGUGCCAUGCCUGUAAGCAAUGGGGGCACAUGGCCCGGGAGUGCACCCAAAACCGGAGCCGCAAGAUCUGGAAUCAGCUCCGGCAGAAUAUGGCCCCGCGGGCAGCUGCUCAUUAUUAUCAUGCAGAGCCAACUUUGCCAGGCGUGCCGCUUGAGUCGGCUGAUGAACCCCUGGGCGUUUUGCACGAUGUAAUGUCCACCCAUGCUACUGACAACCGACAACCACAUUGCCAGACCGUGACUCUGGAAGGGAAAGAGGUACAGGGGCUACGUGAUUCCGGCGCUACCUUAACUUUGGUUGCCCCGCAUUUGGUGUCAGGAUCAGCACAUACAGGGGGAUCGGUAGCAGUCCGGGUAGCAGGGGGUGCCAUGUACCGGCUACCAACUGCCAAGGUACAUCUGAAUUGGGGUGCGGGGGAAGGUAUGGUGGAGGUGGGGCUGAUGCACAAGUUACCAGCUGAUGUUGUUUUGGGGAAUGACCUGGGGCAAAUGACUUCCACUUUUGUGCCCCAAAGUCCUCGCCAUGAGGCAUAUCCAGUGACCACCCGUCAGCAGGCUCGCACCACGGCUUCAUCUUCCACACACUCUGAGGCUCAGGUAAGAGACAAUGUACCCCGUGUAACCUGUGUUUCCUGGGAUACCCCGACUGACUUUGAGGCAGAGGUUAAAAACGAUCCCACGUUGCAAAUUUAUAAGGAUAAGGCGACAGCUGGUCAGACAGGUUUAGAGGGAGAACAGUAUGUAUGGGAGAAAAAUCUGUUAUAUCGUGUUGCUGAGCGGGUGGUAGGGGGUCUGUACAUGUGACUAAUAAGCAGCUUAUAGUUCCCCAGAAAUACCGGCAGGAACUGCUUAGAAUUGCCCACGAUAUUCCGCUGUCUGGGCAUUUAGGGAUGACAAGAACGAGGUACAGAUUGACACAUGCAUUUUUCUGGCCAGGUAUAUCUAGAGAUGUGAGACAGUAUUGUCAGACAUGUGACAUUUGUCAGAGAGUGGGAAAAAGGGGUGACCGCCACAAAGCGAAAUUGUGCCCCUUCCCAUUAUUGAAGAACCCUUUAGCAGAGUAGCAGUGGAUAUAGUAGGACCACUGUCCAAGCCUAGCCCUUCCGGCAAGCGGUAUAUUCUGACCAUUGUAGAUUAUGCCACCCGGUACCCGGAGGCUAUAGCCCUUUCCAAUAUACAAGCAGAAACGGUAGCCGAAGCUAUGAUGAAGAUAUUUUCCAGGAUGGGAUUUCCCCAAGAGAUAAUUCGGAUAGAGGGACCCAAUUUACAGCCGAAGUGACCCACCAGCUAUGGAAGUUAUGUGGCAUUAAGCCAAUUGUAAAUUCUGCCUAUCACCCGCAGUCCAAUGGGUUGUGUGAGCGCUUUAACGGUACCUUGAAGCAGAUGCUCAGGACAUUUGGGGAGUCCCAUAAAGACUGGGAGAGGGUUUUACCCCAUCUGCUUUUUGCGUACCGAGAAGUGCCACAGGAAUCUACCGGCUUCUCUCCGUUUGAGUUAUUGUUUGGGAGAAGGGUGAGGGGACCCCUAGACUUAAUUAGAGAACAUUGGGAGGGGGGGAGCAGUGCAGAUGGAGUCCCCAUUGUACCAUACGUGCUGGAGUUCCGGGACCGCUUGGAGGCUCUAACCCAAACCGUACGGGAGAACCUCCGGGCGGCUCAGCGGCGACAGCACCGGUGGUACGAUAGGGGAGCCAGAGACCGUAGCUUUCAGGUGGGACAGAAAGUUCUAAUUUUGAAACCUGUCCGCACAGACAAGCUACAGGCCACCUGGCAGGGCCCAUAUCAAGUGGUAGAACAGAGAUGUGACACCACUUAUGUGAUCGGCCCGUGCUCUGGGGUAGGGAAACGACGCAUGCUCCAUGUGAACAUGCUCAAACCCUAUCACCAGAGAAUAGAGGAGGUAGCAGCCAUCUGUGCCCCAGCCACUGAGGAUUAUGAGAAUCUGCCUUUGCCAGACAUGUUAGAAAAGGAAGAUUCUGCAGAAAACGCUACAGGUGUGCAGCUGGGGGAGCGGCUAAGUCUCCAGGAGCGUGCCCAGGUACAGGAGUUGAUUGCGGCAAAAGGUGCUACCUUCUCCAAUUUACCAGGGUACACUUUGUUAGCUACCCACCGAGUAGAGACCCCAGGACAGCUCCCUAUGAGACAGACUCCGUAUCGUAUCCCUGAAGCAGUAAGGGAGCACAUGAGGAAAGAAAUUGAGGAAAUGUUGCAGUUAGGGGUUAUCGAACAUUCAGAUAGCCCCUGGGCAUCACCGGUAGUGCUAGUACCCAAGAAGGAUGGCACCACGCGGUUUUGUGUAGACUACUGGAGGCUCAAUGACAAAACAGUGUCUGACGCCUACCCGAUGCCACGUAUAGACGAGCUGCUAGAUAGGAUGGCAAGAGGCCAGUAUCUCACUACCAUUGAUCUGUGUAAGGGAUACUGGCAGAUUCCACUAGCCGAGGAGGCCAUCCCCAAGUCGGCGUUUGUCACCACGUUUGGCCUGUAUCAAUUUCGGGUCAUGCCUUUCGGGAUGAAAAACGCUCCGGCUACCUUUCAGAGGAUGGUAGAUCGGCUACUGGACGGGUUCCAAGAGUACGCCUGUGCGUACUUAGAUGAUAUAGCCAUUUAUAGCCAGACCUGGGCGGAUCAUUUGAAACAUAUUAGUGUGGUCAUUGACCGUAUUGGAGAGGCAGGGCUGACACUAAAACCUAGCAAGUGUCACAUAGGGAUGGCAGAGGUGCAGUACCUGGGUCACAGGGUAGGAUGCGGACAGCAGAGGCCCGAAACGGCCAAGAUAGAGGCAGUAGCUAAGUGGCCUACCCCCAGGACAAAGACACAAGUAUUGGCGUUCCUUGGUACCGCUGGUUACUACAGAAAAUUUGUGCCCAAUUACAGCGCCCUGGCCAAACCCCUGACGGACUUGACCAAGAAAAACUUGCCACGACAGGUCAACUGGGCCCCAGAGUGUGAACAGGCAUUCCAUGAACUAAAAACUGCAUUAACUAAGGCUCCUGUGUUAACUGCCCCUGAUCCAACUAAACGAUUUCUUGUUCACACAGACGCUUCCAUGUUUGGAUUGGGGGCAGUACUGAUCCAAGUGGGAGCUGAUGGCGGAGAACAUCCCGUAGCUUACUUAAGCAGAAAAUUACUACCAAGGGAAGUAGGCUACGCCGCCAUCGAGAAGGAAUGCCUGGCCGUGGUGUGGGCCCUCAAAAAGUUACAACCUUAUUUGUAUGGACAACCAUUCUCCUUGCUCACAGAUCACAACCCGUUGGUGUGGCUACACAGGGUGUCAGGAGACAAUGCCCGGCUGUUGAGCUGGAGUUUGGCGCUGCAGCCGUUUGAUUUCACGAUCCAUUAUCGCCCUGGAAAACAGAAUGGUAACGCCGAUGGGUUGUCCAGACAGACAGAACUUGAGAAAUGAUCUGUGAGCACUCCCCCGGACAUCCCCAAGCAGAUCCGUUGGGAUCAGACUGUGUAUGCCGGCUUGGUUUUGGGGGAGCAUUGUGGCAAACCUAGCCACUUGGGACUGCCUAAGAUAGAAUGGUUGUGCCUAUUUUCUGUUGUGUACUGCGCGCCGGUAUAGUGUGGCGUCUCCGGCUAUGUUUAAUUUAUGCUGUACUGUGUAUGUCUGUUCGAAUCCUCCCCAUUCUACCAGCAGAGAUCCUGGGAUUAUAAAAUUGCAGCUCUGCAACACUGUGUAUAGAAUGUAUGGGGGUAAAUAUACACCCCCUGUAUAUACUGUGUAUAUAAUGUAUGGGGUAAAUAUACACCCCCUGUAUAUACUGUGUAUAGAAUGUAUGGGGUAAAUAUACACCCCCUGUAUAUACUGUGUAUAGAAUGUAUGGGGUAAAUAUACACCUCCUGUAUAUACUGUGUUUAUAAUGUAUGGGGGUAAAUAUACUCUGUGUCUGUUGGAGUGCUCGGAGUCCUCGGCAAGCGCUAGGUGCAUCAAUUGGCGGAGUGCCAGCGGUCCGUCACACAUGGCGCCCAGUUACUGUAAGGCAGAGUUUGACAAUCUGCUGACGUGGCUGCUGGCUUUCUAUGGACCUAACUCCGCUGUGUAAUAUACAGGACCCAAGGAAUAUCAUUGGCCAGGCACCUACAGCACAAAGCAGAGCGGCAGUGGGAGUUAUUGGGUGGGAACACCUGCAGUGGUUAUGGUGCUGAGGUCUUGGUUCCCUCUCCCCACAGCUGAGCAUGAGUGAUUAUAGCUGUAACACACGAAAACACACGGGCUUUUAUGAGAAAUCCUCCUGCAAGAUGACCUCCCACAGCAAGCAAAAGCAACAGCCAAUCAUCACACAGAUUUAUAGUAUUACACGCCUCCUCUCUGCCUGGGAGAUAUUGAGAAAAGUUAAGGAAUAAACCAAUUAUCUCCAGGCAGAGAGCACAUAAUUUCCCCAAAACUUAGAACACCCCUUUCCCCACAAGGUAUCCCCACAAAUUCCCCACAAGGUAUUCCCCACAUAUCCCCUGAUAGCCCCGAUCUGGGGACAAACAUAUCCAAAUUUCACCCAGAUCGGUUCAGGGGUUCUGAAAAAGUGUGGAGGGUCCCUUUUACCGAAAAAAUUUUGUUUUUUGCAUUUUUCACACACAAACAAAUAUGAACGCUAAAUUUGGCCAGUGUUUGUAACUAAGUGGCUACUAGAAAAGACUGGACAUACCCCAUUUGCAAUUCCUUGGGUUGUCUACUUUUGCAAAUGGGGGUAAUUUUCAUUCCUGGGAUACCAUACGCUCUCAAAGGCAACAUAACCAAUCUGGCAAAUUUCAAUGUGUAUAAACUGAAAAAUGUAACAUGCUAUAUUUCACCCUGUAACUUCCCAAAACACCAUAAAACCUGUACAUAGGGAGUACUAUUUUACACGUGAGACAUCACUGAAUACAAAUAUGUGUUCUUUAUUGCAGUAACAGCUAACAGUAUUGUGACAUUCACAGUUAAAAUGCUAUGCAGAACUAAUAAAAAAUAACAUUUAUUUUCUAACACUUUUUUAUAUUAAAUUAAGCUUAUUAUACAAAUAUUUGAUGUGACAUUAAAGCCCUGUUUCUCCUGAACAGAAUUAGGCAGAACUACCAAUUUUUUUUAAUUUAUUUUUUUAAUUAAAUUUCUCACAGUUUUUUUUACAUUUUUUUAUUCAUAUAUGAAUAGUUCAUGAGGAAUUAAAGCCAUGUUUCUCCUGAACAGAAUUAUAUAUGAUAAGUGUGGGUGCACAUAAUAUGAAAGAGGUAAAUUACGCCUGAACAGACAUGUAGCGCAAAUUCAAGUUUUUGUUUACGUUUUGUUUUGAUCACAACGUGUACAUUUGGCUCAGUCCUUAACCCCUUCAGGACGGAGUCAAUAGUACACGUUGUGAUCAAAACAAAACGUAAACAAAAACUGCAAUUUGCUCUAUAUGUCUGUUCAACCGUAAUUCACCUCUUUCAUAUUAAAUGCACCCACAAUUAUUACAUAUCAUUUUGUUCAGGAGAAACAUGGCUUUAAUUUCUCAUGAGCUAUUCAUAUAUGAAACAUAACUUAUUAUGAAUAAAAAUUAAAAAUAAAAACUGGUGAGAAAUGUAAUUUAAAAAAAAAAAAUUGGUAGUUCCGCCUGACAUUUUAGCUGUAAAUGUCAUAAUACUGUUGGCUUUUACUGCAAAAAAAUACACAUACAGUUGCAAGAAAAAGUAUGUGAACCCUUUGGAAUGAUAUGGAUUUCUGCACAAAUUGGUCAUAAAAUGUGAUCUGAUCAUCAUCUAAGUCACAACAACAGACAAUCACAGUCUGCUUAACCCCUUAGGGACACAUGACAUGUGUGACAUGUCAUGAUUCCCUUUUAUUCCAGAAGUUUGGUCCUUAAGGGGUUAAACUAAUAACACACAAAGAAUGAAAUGUUGCCAUGUUUUUUUGAACACACCAUGUAAACAUUCACAGUGCCGGUGGAAAAAGAAUGUGAACCCUUGGAUUUAAUAACUGGUUGAACCUCCUUUGGCAGCAAUAACUUCAACCAAACGUUUCCUGUAGUUGUAGAUCAGACGUGCACAACGGUCAGGAGUAAUUCUUGACCAUUCCUCUUUACAGAACUGUUUCAGUUCAGCAAUAUUCUUGGGAUGUCUGGUGUGAAUCGCUUUCUUGAGGUCAUGCCAGAGCAUCUCAAUCGGGUUGAGGUCAGGACUCUGACUGGGCCACUUCAGAAGGUGUAUUUUCUUCUGUUUAAGUCAUUCUGUUGUUGAUUUACUUCUAUGCUUUGGGUCAUUGUCCUGUUGCAACACCCAUCUUCUGUUGAGCUUCAGCUGGUAGACAGAUGGCCUUAAGUUCUCCUGCAAAAUGUCUUGAUAAACUUGGGAAUUCAUUUUUCCUUCGAUGAUAGUAAUCCGUCCAGGCCCUGACGCAGCAAAGCAGCCCCAAACCAUGAUGCCCCCACCACCAUACUUCACAGUUGGGAUGAGGUUUUGAUGUUGGUGUGCUGUGCCUUUUUUUCGCCACACAUAGUGUUGUGUGCUUCUUCCAAACAACUCAACUUUGGUUUCAUCUGUCCACAGAAUAUUUUGCCAGUCCUGCUGUGGAACAUCCAGGUGCUCUUGUGCAAACUGUAAACGUGCAGCAAUGUUUUGUUUGGACAGCAGUGGCUUCCUCUGUGGUAUCCUCCCAUGAAAUCCAUUCUUGUUUAGUGUUUUACGUAUUGUAGAUUCGCUAACAGGGAUGUUAGCAUUUGCCAGUGACUUUUGUAAGUCUUUAGCUGACACUCUAGGAUUCUUCUUCACCUCAUUGAGCAGUCUGCGCUGUGCUCUUGCAGUAAUCUUUACAGGACAGCCACUCCUAUGGAGAGUAGCAGCAGUGCUGAAUUUUCUCCAUUUAUCAAUAAUUUGUCUUACCGUGGACUGAUGAACAGCAAGGCUUUUGGAGAUACUUUUAUAACCCUUUCCAGCUUUAUGCAAGUCAACAAUUCUUAAUCGUAGAUCUUCUGAGAGCUCUUUUGUGCAAAGCCUCAUUCACAUCAGGCACCUACAUACAACCAAUCCUGGGACUACCUACUCAUCUGAUGAGAACAUCUACUUAACUGGUAAUUAUGCUGGUUUUAUUUAAUUAAUCUAACUUAAUGAAAAAUCUAAUAGCAUGAUAUGACUGGAUAAAUCACGGUCAGAUUUCAAUAUUUAGAAAUCUUAGUUAACUAAAGAAUCUAUAGCUAUAAACAUUCCAUUCUGCAGGUGGAAUUAAGAAUAAUGAUAUAUUAACCCCUUAAGGACGGAGCCAAAUGUACACAUUGUGAACAAAACAAAAUGUAAACAAAACCUGGCAUUUGCGCUACAUGUCUGUCCAACCGUAAUACACCUCUUUCAUAGUAAAUGCACCCACCCUUAUUAUAUAUCAUUUUAUUCAGGGAAAACAGGGCUUUCAUUUAAUAUCAAAUAUUUAGCUAUGAAACAUAAUUUAAUAUGAAAAAAAUGGGAGAAAAUACGAUUUUUUUGAUUUUUUUAGUUCUAAAUUGCAUUUUAAAGGUCAGUGUCAUAAUACUGUUUGAUUUUACUGCAAUAAAAUACACAUAUUUGUAUUUAGUAAAGUCUCACGUGUAAGACAGUACCCCCUAUGUACAGGUUUUAUGGCGUUUUGGGAAGUUACAGGGUCAAAUAUAGCACGUUACAUUUGAAAUUGAAAUUCGCCAGAUUGGUUACGUUGCCUUUGAGACUGUAUAGUAGCCCGGGAAUGAAAUUUACACCCAUAAUGGCAUACCAUUUGCAAUAGUAGACAACCCAAGGUAUUGCAAAUGGGGUAUGUCCAGUCUUUUUUAGUAGCCAUUUGGUCACAAACACUGGCCAAAGUUAGCGUUAGUAUUUGUUUGUGAAAAAUGCAAAAACGCCAAUUUUGGCCAGUGUUUGUGACUAAGUGGCUACUAAAAAAGACUGGACAUACCCUGUUUGCAAUACCUUGGGUUGUCUACUACUGCAAAUGGUAUGCCAUCAUAGGGUAAUUUUCAUUCUUGGGCUACCAUAGGGUCUCAAAGGCAACGUAACCAAUCUGGCUAAUUUUAAUGUGAAAAAAAUGAAACGCAAGCCUUAUAUUUGACGCUGUAACUUUUGAAAACACCAUAAAACCUGUACAUGAGGGGUACUGUUGUACUCGGGAGACUUCGCUGAACACAAAUAUUUGUGUUUCAAAACAGUAAAAAGUAUCACAGCAAUAAUAUUGUCCGUGUAAUGCUGUUUGUGCAUGAAAAAUGCAAAAAACUUCACUUUUACUGGCAUAUCAUCGUUGUAAUACAUUUUACGUUUUGAAACACUAAUAUUUGUGUUCAGCGAAGUCUCCCGAGUAGAACAGUACCCCCAUGUACAGGUUUUAUGGUGUCUCGGAAAGUUAUAGGGUUAAAUAUAGUGCUAGCAAAUUAAAUUCCCUUUACUUUCGGCAUGGGUUGUCAGGCAGGUCCUGCUAAUUGUAAUUAAUUAAGAUACCUAAUUAUGUAAAAAUAUUACAUAAAUAUAUAUGUAGAAUUAAUAUAUGUAUAUAUAUACGUAUGUGUAUAUAUAUGUAUAUAUCUAUAUAAUUUUUUUUAAAUAUUUUUAUUUAUAUAUAGGUAUAUAUAUAGUGAUAUAUACGUAUAUAUUUAUGUAUAUAGAUAUAUAUAUAUUUCGUUCUACGUGUAUUUUGAUAUAUAUAUAUAUAUAAAUUUCACAAAACAGUUAGAACGAAAUAACACACAUCUAUAUAUUUUUUAAUUAUUUAUUUUUAAUUAUUUUUUAAUUUUAUUUUUUAACGUAUUUACAUUUUUAUUUUUUUAUAUUAUAUAUAAAUAUAUAUAUACAAUAAUUAUAUAUAUAUUUAAUCAGUAUCAGUCUACGUGUAAUUUGAUAUUAAUAUAUAUAUAUAAUUAUAUAUAUAUUAAUAGUAAAAUACACCUAGACGGUGUAUGUGUGUGUAUGUAUAUGUGUAUAUAUAUAUUUAGAUCAUAUAUAUAUAAUAUAUAUAUAUGAUCUAAGUAUAUAUAAUUAUUUUUUUUUACACCAUUAACUUAUUUUACUUUUAUUUUCAGCCAGCAGGGGGACCACCUGUCAUUACAGGCAGCCCCCCUGCCGGCAAUACAGAAGCCAGCUAUACCCGGCCAUGUGAUUGUGGGGUCCUCGCUAGGACCCCACUCUCACAUGGCCAGGGGCUUCAACGAGGACGGAUGUGCCGCGGGGGCUCCCUGGGAAUCCCCCCAACCGCGAUCGCCGGCGUGGGACCGCCGGCGACCGGGUAAGUUAACAAAAACCGGAGGGCGUACAAUUACGCCCGGCGGCGUUUAGAGCCGCCUAUUAGAGGGCGUAAUUGUACGUCCUCCGGUUUUAAGGGGUUAAUGUGAUAUCACGUGUUAGCAUACCGAUGUUUUUAUCCAGGUGUAUUGAUUUGCUCUUAAUAAGAUAAGAUAUCUUUUUAGGCAAAUUAAAAUUCGGCUUAUAGAAUCUGGUAGAUUAUUCUUAUUGGAUGGUUCCAGGAAAUGAUUAAUGAGCUGGUUUAAAUGUUAUUUUAUUUGAAAAUUACAUAAGAAUAGGAUAUUAAAUGCCGAAGAGGAUCUAGCCAGCAUUGAAAGGGUUACUCAGUUAACUGUUAGCCAAGGAUUUUACGACCCUUCGCUGCACUGUGUGAAGUUUUGCUUUCUGUCUAAAGUACCUCAUAAAUCUUGUCUUGACAAUUGAUGCUGUUAGCCAUUGGAACGUGUUUUAACAUAGCCAUUGUAUUGCAUACUCAUGUUAUACUAAAUAUUAACUGAUUAUUAUCAUGCAUGUUGCCUAAUAUUAUUAUUAUUUGUCACAAUAAAUGAUAUCUAUUUUUAUAACAAAUUGUGAUUUUAUUUGUAUGGUAUACAUUUCACUUACAUGAUAACGAUUUCUAAGAUCUGAGAGAAUUGAAAUAGUGGGCAAUUCUCGACUGUUUAAUAUUAUCAUCCCAUAAAUAUCCCCACAAGAUUAGCCUACUAUCGAUAUUCGCAGAUACUCUGUGCUGGUUAUGAUAACAUAUCCAGAAGCCUUACAGUCAUGCACUAUCUAGAAGACUUCUUGUUGAUCAAAUAUAACAUAUUUUUCACUAGAAGCCUCACGGCAGCUUAGUCAAGUUGACCACUUGGGCGUCCCAGUACCCCAUAAGAAACAGAAGGCCCAGACACUAUCUUCACAUUACUGGGCAUAUGACUUGAGUCGGCAUCCAUACACCCAAGUUACCACAAGACAAAUAGGGAACAUUCUCAACAACAUCAAUCACUACCUCCUGCUUAGUACUUACAACUGCAAGGAACUUCAAUCCCUACCAGGUUCCUUAAUUUUGCCAUGCCAAUCAUACCACAAGACCACGCUUUCACAUCCAGAGUACUUUCCCCUUUUUUCCACACUUGCAACAUGACGAUCAGAGGAUAUCCCUAGACACCCCAGCAACAGCAGACCUGCACAUGGGGAGGGAUUUCUUAACCACUUGGCAUGGUAAAAGCAUGUUCCUUCCAGGAUUGUCUGACACUUCUCCAACCAGAUGGUCAGACGCGGCGUCUACCACGGGUUUGGCAGCGAUCUACCGGGAGCGAUUGCUUUGGAGCUGUUGGCCAUGGCAUCCAGGUUUGGAAAUUUUUCCACCACCUCAGCCCCUUUGGGGGAUCUACCCCAUUGUAGCAUCUGCUGUGGCAUGGGGUAAAUCAUGGUCAGGAUCAUCAAUCCGUUGUUACUCAGACAACUAAGCACAUGUCAUAUCGUCAACAAAUGUCACUACUCAUCCAUAAGGUCAUGAUAAUUCUGGGGAACUCACUUGGUUGGCAACUUAUCACAUUUCUUUUACGUUCAUGUACCAGGCGGGGGUAUACAUCCCUGCCGACAAUUGUCUCAUUUAUAUUCCAGGCAUGUUCAUCAUACGCUUCCUACAGCCGCCCAUACAGUCACGGACACUCUUUUGUUCCAGAGACAAAAUCAUAGAUUAGACAUACUCAUGCAGCAUAGCAUGCACUAUCCCACCUAGCACUUUCGUCCCAUACUUUUAGAAUGCAUAACACAGCUUUUCACCUGUCUUAAAGACUCUCAUUGGAACACGACAUAGCUCAACCUGUGUCAUAACAUUUCUCCUAGGUUUUGUUUCUUUUUGCCGCCUUAAACUUAAAAUGACAAUUAAAAUCCAUUCCCCCACGUUCCUCUCAGAGAUUACCAAUAGCCAUCCAACUUUUCAUCCUUAUUGGAACUAUUAGAUCUACAACCAUUCAAUUAUACUACCAAGUCGGCCAUUACCAGCCAUGCACAUUGCCUUCUAUGCCUUUCUCAGGCCAGAGAAUCCACUACCAUCACCACCACUUAGACAGAUCAUUGUCUUCAACGAUCCCACGUACGUAAACACAUAGAUCACUACCUAUUGGCUCUACCACAUUCCGAAACGAGUCAACACGCACCAACAGUAGAGAUAACAUACUAUUCUACCCACAACAAAUGUUGUCCACUUUCGGUCCUAGAUUCCUACCUUCAAAAUCCUUCCAGGAAUUACUGUAAUGCAUUUAAGGAAAUGGUUAAUUUGUAUAUAUUUGUUGACUGUAUUAAAUCUUUGAUUAUUCAUUUUUGCCCUCUUUAUUUACAGGCCUACCAUAUCGUCUGUCUCGGCACACCACAACCGACUUGCUCCCUUUAUACUAUCCUACGUCUAUGCUGGAUCCUUACUCCAUAUACGACUAUUUGCCCCUUACACAAAUAUAUAUAUAUAUAUAUAUAUAUAUAUAUAUAUCUCAAAAUACAGUUAGAAUGAAAUUACAAAUGUGUAUAUAUAAUUUAUUUUAUUUUUAAAUGUUUUAUUUAUUUAUUAUUGUAAUUAUACGUGUGUAUAUAUAAAUAUAAAAUAUAUAUAUAUAAAUUAUAUCCAUAAAUACAAUACCGCACUCAAAAAAAAGGUAAGAAUCAAUUAAUAUAUAUGCCAAGAAAAUUAAUUUAUUAUACAGAAACUAUAUAUAAAUUCAGGAGUGAGUAAUGAGUAGUGAUUUCCUUAUAAAUUCAUCAAUUUAAACAAUUUCAUCGUAUAUAUAUCCCAAUAUAUAUACAAUUAUUUACAGUCUGUGUACAUGUGAAGAAUGGAGUUCAAUAGUUCAUAGAUGUUUUCAGGUGGAUCCACCACUAAGUAGUUUUGUAUGAGUGAAAAAAACUGUAAAAACAGAAGAAAAAAUAUAGGGAGAAAAAUAAUAUAUAUAAAAAAAAAUAUAUAGCUAUAUGCCAAAAUAAACAGUCCAAUUGCAUGUAAUGAGAAAAUGAAAAAAUGAUGUGAAUCAGAAAAAUAAAAAAUAAAAAAAAUAAUUAUGAUCAAACAAAAGUAAAUGCAAAAAAAGAGUAUAGUUUCUGUAUAAUAAAUUAAUUUUCUUGGCAUAUAUAUUAAUUGAUUCUUACUUUUUUUUGAGUGCGGUAUUGUAUUUAUGGAUAUAAUUUGUGCAUUUUUUUGAGGUUGUUAUGGGAAACUCCUCCAAUACCAGCACCAUUUAGUAGCAGAGUGCCAACACACAUUGAAGUUUUUUUGUUAUAUGUAUAUAUGUAACGUCAUUCUAAGUGUAUUUUAAAACUAAUAUAUGUACUUAUAUUAACAUAAAAAUAUACUAUGUAUGACAUUACACACACACACACACAUAUAUAAUAUAAUAUAAUAUAUAUAUACACAUUUAUUUUAUUUUAAACUUGUCUAAUAUUUAUUUUUAUUUUUUUUAUUUUUUUUUUUUACACUAAACACCAGCAGGGGGACUGUCUGACAUUUCAGACAGUCCCCCUGCUGGCAGAUCCACAGCCAGCUAUAGGGGGCCAUGUGAGCGAUCACAUGAUCCCCGGGGGCCUGAUUUGCUGUGGGAGGGCUGCCUGGGCGGUCAGGCAGUCCUCCCGAAGAGGAUUGCGGUGGAGGUUUAUAAAGCCCAUUAUAAUGGGGAUGGCAUAGUAAGGGGUUAAUACAUGUUUAUGUGCAGGAUUACAUUGUAGUGAAGAGAUCUGACGAUCCUACAGUACAGAGAAGCAGUCCCUGUGUGUUUAGAGGAUCCUGCAAGACCCAGAGCUCCAACACGGUGUGUCCAUCUCACUCACUGAUACAGGACGGAAACAAUGAGCAGAACAUCCUGGAACUGACCAAUCAGAUCAUCCACCUGCUGACUGGAGAGGU
rnacentral:lncRNA from 1 species